rfam:Spironucleus salmonicida unplaced genomic scaffold scf7180000020668, whole genome shotgun sequence.
GCAUUUUUGGCCGAGUGGUUAAGGCGUAACGUUAAGGCCGUUAUGGGACUUAUCCCGCGUGGGUUCGAGCCCCACAGAAUGCA